AACAAACCUUUCCAUGCUCAUGUGAUGUGAAAAUCUCUACUGCGGUUUCCUGUUGAUCGAGGUGACUGGGAAUCAACCCCACAGUGGCCUUAGCAAGGGCCAGAGCUCUGAGCCCAGCCCAGGUGGACCUCGGCUUUCACAGCAGGACGGAGCUGCCUGACAGAAUGUGCUCCCUGUGACUCUGCUGACUUAUCCAGCCCUUAAGGGCUUCCCGGAACAGCAGCCUCACACAGCCCUGGUGCAGCACAGCACAGGAGGAGCAGCCCACAGGGAUCCCCCAGCCAAUGUCAGGGGGCCAAGAGGUGACAAUGUUGCACGUAUUGUUGCACUCUGAGCUUACAAAACACAGCUGUGACUGUCCCGUGCCACCAGCAUUGCUCUGUGUAAUAAAGAGCAUGGCAGGAUUGGGUGGAAGAAGCAACCCACUGAUAUUCCUGCCCUGCCACUGGAUACAAGUGCUACACACAAUGAUUGUAAGCAGCACAGAAACAGUGACAGCGAUAGCUCCUUUUAAUCAGCUCAGUGGGACAUCUUUCAUGUGGACGCCAUAGUUGUUGGCUGUGGCCGUGUCUCCUGCUGCACCACGUGGGCCGGGUUCUGCAGGCACUCCCACUUGUGCUGAGCCCACCCAGCCUCACCUAGCGCCGGCGUUUCAGUUCUGGAGCAUCCCAGCCCUGCGGCAGCUUUGUUUGGAUGCUGCCAGUCUGCUGCUCGUGCCCUGUGGUGGUGCAGGCGGGCACUGGGCACUCGGGCCUCUGUCUGCAUGGACGUCACCAAAUAGAGCGCUCAGUUCAAUAGUUGGUUGGUCUGAAACGUGUCCUGCUACGUUCUGUUCAGGUCCUGCGAGACAGGGAAAGCGGGACGAGGAAGAGAUUUGCUGCAGUUUUCUCAUGUUCUCAAGGCAAUGACAGGGGACAACGAAGUGCCUGAGAUCAAUGGAGAGCCUGUGGACGGGGCUGUGUUUGAGGAGGACAGCAGCUGCACACUGCCCAUCUCCCGUGAAGGCACAGAGGACGUGCAAGCAGCUGGUGCUCCAGGCGCCUCACUGAAGCUGUCAAAACCCGGUAUGCUGCCUGCAAAUGCUCAUCACAUGCAGACACACAGCCCGAAACAAAGCAGCAGACAGACAGAAUUGGCACCAGCGGCCUCUACAUGUGCCAGCGCAUCCAGGGGGGUCGGCAUGGGCAGCUCUGGUGGUGUUCUGGGGGACAGCAGGAAAGGCCCGCAGGGCAGCAACUCUGAGAACUGCCCAGAGCAUGCUGGCUGCCUCCACAACAGGUCACUGCUUUCCCACAGCCACCCGGUGCGGACAGCCUGCCGCCCGCUGCGCAGCCCCCAAACUCACCUCCUGAUUCCAGCGCUGCGCUGCUGCAGCCGAGCGGAGCCGUGGCGGGAUGGGGGCACACGUUGGUGGGCGCUGGGUGCCGCUGCUCCUGGGUGUGCGCCACGGCAUCUGCAAAGGGCCCCGUCGCCUGCUCCCAGCUGGCGGGCAGGGUGCAGGGCCCGGGGAGCACCCGCAGCUGCACUGGAGGUGCUCGGAGGACUGUGGAGGGGCCGGGGCCGGGGCGGCCGGGGGCCUGCAGCGGGCAGCUGCCUGCGGGCUGCGGGGGCUUCCCACGGCACACGGCCCCGGGCCGCAGCCCCAUCGGCUGCUGGCGCUGCCGCUGCCACUUCCCUGCCAGCCGGGGAUGUUGCCAGCAGUGGGCAGGGGCAUUGGGGGGAGGCAUACCCGGCUUCAUCCCGCCGGGUAGGAGCUGGAGGAGGGGUAACUGCCUCUCCCCGGGUGGCAGAUGACCCACAAUUGUGUACAGCCCCUCAGGUGUGA
rnacentral:lncRNA from 7 species